rnacentral:lncRNA from 1 species
GGAAUGCUUCUUAAAAGAGAGAGACAUUGAUUGAAAGGGAAAGAUACGGAUUAUGGAAAGUUAUCCCUUGUUAUACUAUCGGACCAUAAAAUCCUUACCGUCUUACUAUCCACAUACAUUUAUCUUUAAGUGAACGUAGGGGAUACAUGACAGUCAUCCGUGCCUUUUUUUUCAUCUGGUAUUAUUUUGACUCGACCAAUUCAUAUUACUCGCUACCCAAUCCAAAUUAACCCGUAAAUUAUAACUCAAAAGAAACCCCAACCCUAAGUUAUACUCCUAUAUUCCAUUAAUCCCUCUAUGUUCUAAGCUCCAUCAAGACCGCCGAUUUCAACAAAAUUCAUCAUUAAUUCCUUUUUUGUUGUUGAUGGUAAAAGCGUGUCAAAUGUCGGAUUUUAGUGCUACAUCAAAGAGGAGGUGCUAUUGUGGAGAGAUUUCCAACCACUUUCGACCGACCACACCUCAAAAUACGGGAAGGAGAUUCUAUAAAUGUGUUAACCUGAAGUAAGUUAAAAAAAAUCAUGUGUUGAGUUUGUUAAUUGUUUUGUACAAAAAUUGAAUUUUUAUUUCUUGUAACAUAAUUAUUGUUCAUUAUUGUUAGAAUGAGUUAUGAGGAUAUUGAGAAUGUUAAGACGAGCCCUUUCUGAAUCGAGUGUUGAUAGAAAUCAAUAAGUUACAGUAAAAUUGAAUGUUGCUAAUGUUACAAUCAAUAUGUUGAAUCAAUUGUUGGAGUCAUACAAUCUAGAAAUGGACAAAUUAUUGGAAAAAGUUGAAGUUUUGGAGGCUGCAAAAAAUUGAAGUGAACAAAGCAAGAAAAAUCGAAGAUAAAGUGGUUAAGAUGGAGAUGUUUAUUUGGAUUUCAGUUGUAUUUUUGUUAGAUUUGUUGCGGCAAUGUGGAUAAAUUAAAUUUAUAAAAGCAAGAUGGCAUCUACUCCAUAUUGAUGUUCCUAGUUCUUGUAAAACUUAGAUGUUUAUAUCUACUAUUUUUUACACUCCUAUCUACUGAGUUUUGAUAUUCUUAGUCAUUGUAAAACAAUGACAUCAACUGUUAAUGUAUGUUCCAAGUUAUUGUAAUAUAAUGAUGAAACUUCUUCAAUUUGUAUUAUGCGUAAUUGUUUAUGUACUAGUUGUGCUACAAGUCCUAAUCAACUAUAGACACUUCUUACAACUACAACUUGAAGCUAUUGGCACUUCACAAUAACUUGUGACACUCUUAUCCGGUGAGGCAUGUGUUUCCUUCGGCAAAGCUUUAACUGAAUACAUGUUUUCUUCCAAUUUCAUUGAAUACAUGUAUUCGAUUAACAAUUAACACAAGGAUCAUAACAGGAACUUGAAGAUAAUUCUUACAACAUAUAACUUAUAACUUAGAACAUAUAACUUCAAUAUAGCAACUUACAACUUCAAAACAUCAGUUCGAUUAAUAUGACAUCCAAUUUCAGUAAUUACAUCACAAAAAUAUACACACCAAAAACAGUAAUUACAUCACCAAAAAUAUACACAUCCUAGAUCAUAAUAUGACAUCCGAUUUCAACAUUAUGAACCAUUAUUAACAGAAUACUAAAUGGGAGAUAAAUAUAAUUAAGUUUGCAGUAAAUACAUCUCACACAACACACAAAAAUUCCAGUUGUGUCAUCAUUCUUUCCCUUGAUUUCAGCUUCACAAUUCUCGCUUGCCCUUGUUUUUCUAACUGAUUUGCAGUUACAUCAGCUUUUCCCUUCCACUAUAAUGUUGGUGCAGAGUAUUGAAGAUUUGUUGGAACGCUAACACUCGUGUAAUCACCAGUGAAGUUGAUUGACCUUGUUCCAGCUAGUAUUUGUACUUGUUGUCUCAUCAUGAGCCUUGUAUUGAAUUCUGAUAUAACUCUUGGCCUAAGUACAACAUUUUAUUCAUGUCCAACUAGAAACUCAAAAUAUUGAUCCAUACUUGAUUGUCCAAUACCUCGAACUCUAGGUGUUGGCAUGAACCUAAGACUACUGGUCUAAUUUGGUUGAACGACUUGAGGUGCUGCACAUUUGAUAUCAUGUUCAACUUGAGGUGUUGAACUGUCCUGACUUGUUUAAGUUUCAUGAUAUAUCAAAUAACUUGGCCUCUUCCUCUAUUGCUUUUCUUUUGAUUUUGUUGCUUCGGGUGUUGAAUUGGUGGCAACCUACUUAGUUCUUCCACUCUUUCUUUGCUUCUUUCCCUUUGGUUGCUGUUAAAAAGACAAGUUAGAAAAUAUAAAUAUGUUCUAGCAUUUAAAACUUUAAUGCUUUGAAAUUCAAAUUAUAUAAGCAAUUACCUGACCACAAGUCCUAGCAUUAUGAAUUGUUUCUCCAUAUUUGCUACAAGUUAUGAUUCUUUCUUUUCAGGACUGUGACCACACUUCUUGCCUUUUAAUUGCCUCAUCCUUCUAUCUAUCUAUCUUAAACUUAGGUCUGCCAGCCACUUCACAAACUCCAGUGGCUCCAUUGCUUGAGAUGGUCUAAUCUUUCAAAAAAAUUCUCCCCUAACAGGCUGGAUCUUGUGUCUAUAAAUCAGCAAAAAUACUGUAACGAUUUGGUCGGUCAUUUUGUGAAAUUAUACCCCGUUACAUACUUUUUAUGCUUUACAUAUGUGUAUUUAUAAUUUUAUGACUUGCGGGGUUGGUUAGUUUCGUUCCGGAAAGCUUUCGGGUUAUUUUGGACCCUUUGAUUCUUGGCUUAGAAACCUAAGUUAGAAAUAUUUACUUAACUUUGACUAUUAUGAAAACCACUCUGCAACAGUAUUUUAAUGGCCCCGAUAACUUCCUAUCUGAAUUUUGGACUUGGGAAUAUGCCCGAAAUUAAUUCAGAAUUCCGUAGUUUGAUUUUUGUUAUUUUCGCCAAAAUUUGGUAAUUUGACGUUGAAAAGUUUGACCGUAGGUUGAAAAGUUUGACCGUAAGUUGACUUUUAGCUAUCAGGUUCGGAAUUUGAUUUUGAUACUUGGAAUAUGUAGCAAUCCCUUUAGGUGGGUACUACUUACGAAACAAAUCUAAUUUACUACUUACAACAUUAAGAAGAUAUUAGUCCAAAAAGACAUUCAGAAUAAUUUCGUAGCGGAAAUAGGCCCAUGCGAUAAAGGUUCAAAGUGUAAUAUUUUUAUUUUUGAAAAUACACUUUGUAAUUUUUUAAAAUAAAAUAUAAUGUCAAAAUAUCAACAUAAGGUGAUCCAACCCUUCUUGAACAACCAACAUGUUAAAGCAGUUUCCCAACAAAAUUUAUACUUUUCGUUCAACAUCACUGCAUGUUCAUAUUGUACAUGAAUUUCAAACUAGGGAGUAAAAGAAGAAAAACUAGUCUUCUCCUUUGUGCAUUUUUACAAGACAAAGUAUAAAUUCAGCAUAUUUCAAGACUUGAGUUAUUCAUAUAUCCUAAAACAGCAAAACAAGUCACCAAAUUACAUGUUACAUAAUUUUGGCCUUGAGAUCCAACAAGCCUCCAUAAUAACAUACAUAAGUGUGACAUAUAUAUCAUGUGCAAGUCUCAAAAUUAUACAAAACCUAGGUGCAUAUGCAAAUUUGAUAUCCAUGUGCUCCCAAAAAGACUACUUGAUAAGGUCGUCUUCAAAUCUCAUCCCGUACAUUACCUACAAUACAAAACAACUAUCUCUAAGCAUAAAGCUUAGUGGCAUAUAAACUUUGGGUUUGGAGCCAUUAAAUUCUCUAAUUCUCCUUUUCAGUCAUAGGUAGCUCAAAUGAAACAUAAUUUAAAACAAGUAAACAAAUAUAUCAAAAGUAUCGAAUAUCAAACCUUGAAGUAUUUCCAAAUAUCAAUAACAAUGUUCAAGAUUCAAGAGUCGAGAAAGCGCAUGCUAUCAAUCUAAGAGAGUUUGCCAAAUAUCUAUUUUUUGCCCAAUAUGUACGUCAUGCCGUCACACUAAGUAUAAUCAGAUAUCAAGGUGGACCAAAGCCCUAAAUCAAUUAGGGUCAAAACCCAAUAGCCAAGAGAAUCAAGAACCAUAUUAAAAAUGGCUUUCUAGUUCGUACUUAACACGGGCAAGUUCCAUAAUUUAAGACGAACUACAAAUCCAAAGUCAAGAUGGAAAAAGAUCCGAAUCAAGAGGCAUGCCAAGAUGAGUGAUAAAGUCAUUGCCACAAGAAAGACAAAGUCCCAACAAGAAUGCAAAAUGAUCAAGCAAUCCGUACGAGUGGGCGAUUUAGCAAAUAUCUUACAAUACUUGAUAUAACACGAAUACAAUGCUAUUAAUUGAAGACAAGGAAAAGAAAAGCUCAAGUUAUUUCAAAACAUUCCAGCAAGUAAAAAGAGUACAACUUCAUGUCUAUACACAAAACUUGGUGUUUUAUCAAAAAAUAGUUCAACCACAACUUGAGGACGUUCGAAUCGUCCACGCCAUAGACCAACCAAAUCCGCCCACUUUCUCAAGUACUUCCCCUUAAAUUUUACAAGGGUAUAUAUACCUUAAAUAUAUAAUCAAAUAUCUAUAUAAGUUCAGUGAUUUAACAUGUCAAACUAAAUAUGAUACUGGUGAAAAUUACCCUACAUUUUUUAAACCGAAAUUUUGGACAAUACCACUAUCUAGUAUUGUGGCUCAGUUUUAAAGAUUUAAAUGAACAAACUAAACUGUAUAGUCUCCAUGAAAGUCAUAGACAUAUGGCUUAGGGACUCAGUAAAUCUUGAAUCACCCUAAUAUCAAUUUUUUACAAAAAGCUAUGCUAAAAUUACUAACAGUAAUACAUGGAGGGUUUGUAAAACAGAAAAUCUGGGUUGCACCUGCCAUGUACUUCAUCACCCAUUUUCGGGUAAAUAAAGACAAACCAAUGCCUGAAUAAGAGUUAUAGAUCUACAAAAUAUCUUUCCAGCAAAGCUUGGAUCACUUACAACAGAGCUCUAUACAAAACGAUAUAUAAGAAAACACUAGUAGUUGUCUAGUGAAACAACGGGUUUAGUAACUUACCAUAAAAGAGAGGAGCAACUUCAGCUUCACCAAGAACUAGUUUUGCUGGUUGGUUUAGUGAAUUUUUUUUAUGGUUUUCAUGAAGUAUUUCAGGUGAUAAGAAGGAGAGAUAGUAGGGGUUUUCGUUAACAUGAAAGAAUGAAAUAUGAGAGAAGGUUAUGGAAAAGCAAGUCACAAAAGUAGUUAUGAACUUUAGAUAAGUAUGAAAUAAAAGUGCUUGCCAAAACUACUAAAUAUCUUUAGAUAAAUACAAAGGGGUGGCAGCCCAAAACCUUAAAUAUCUAAUGUAUUUAAUAACAAUUCAUCAAAAUGAUAUUAAGUAUUGCACAUAGCAACACCAUGGAACUUCUUUGUCAAUAUUAACACAACCUAAAGUAAGCAAUUUUCAUAUAUUGUCAAUUUCACAUUUAGGAAAUGCUAAGUAAAUUCUAUCCUCAUUAUAAAGAUGCUCAAUCGAGAAUGCAAAUAUUAGUUAAAACUUUGGGGUGUUACAGAAUAGGCACGUUAUGCUAUUUAGAAGUUGUCUGUAAAAUUUGGUAUCAUUUGAAGUUGAUUUGGUAUGAUUCGGACGUUUAGUUAUAAUUAUAAAGAUUUUUGAACUUUACUUUGAAAUUGCGUUUUAGUGUUCGAUUAAUAGUUUUAGAUGUUAUUUUUGUAUUUUGAUCAUGCGAGCAAGUUUUUAAUGAUAUUUUUAGACUUAUGUGGAUAUUUGGUUUGGAGCCCUGAGGCCCAAAUGAGUUUCGAACAUGUUUCGGAAUGGUUUUGAACUGAAAUGAACUGUAGGUUCUGCUGGUGCUCAGUUAUCGCAAUUGCGAGCACCAGCCUUGCAAUUGUGAAGGUGAUAGUGGGGGCUCAGAUGUCGCAAUUCCGACUUCCCCUUCGCAUUUGUGAAGUUUUCCGACUUUUGACUUAGUUGCAUUUGCGAACAUUUGUUCAGUUUUGCGAGGAUCAUAGCUUCGCAAUUACGAAGCCUUUUGUCGCAAUUACGAUAAUGAAGGAGGUUGUCAGAGUUCGAAAAUGUGAGCCCUGGUCCGCAAUUGCGAGGGUGUGCAAAUGCGAACCCUGUGUCGCAAAUGCGACAACUGUAGCUGGUACAAAGGGCUGGGAGACGGAAUUUUUCAACACAUUCUUUUAUUUUAGGACCCUAUACUCGGUAGGAGGCAAUUUGGAUAGGGGAUUUUCAUCUACAAACUUUGGGUAAGUGAUUCUAAUCUAAUUCCAAUGAUAGUCCAUCAACAUAUGUUAGAUUUCAACAUCAAAAUCGUGUGAAUUAAAGUGGAAAAUUGUGAAACUUUAUCAAGUUUUUGAAAAUAAGAUUCGAGUUUUGAGAGUCGAUUUGGACUCAUCUUUUGAAACUAAUCACAUAUAUGAACUCAUGGGUUCAUGGGUAGUCAGAAUCUACCAUUGGACCUACGUUUUGACCGGGCGAUCCCUGGUUGACUUUUGUUGACUUUUUGAGAAAAGUGUAAAGAUCUUAGCUUUAUCUAUUAUAAUUGAUUUUUCUUGUAUUGUUUGACGAUAUUAAGUCGAUUUUGGUUAGAUUUCAGCCGCGUGGAUGCAAAUUUUAAGGUAAAAGCUAUUUCCGAGAGUUGAAUUGGCCUAGUUGAGAUAGGUAUCUUGCCAGAACUUUGUGUAGGGGGAAACUAUCCCUUAGGAUUUGGGAUUGAUUGUGUCUUUUGUGUUAUGUGGAGGCCGUGUAUGCAAGGUGACGAGUGAGUACACGGGUUGUACGUGGUAUUUGAUCGGUUUAGGCUACUUAGACUCUUUCCAUGCUUUAAUUGAAAUGUCAUAUUAUGUUCUAAAUUCUCAUAGUCAAUCUAUUCUUAUAUGUGUUAGUCUAUCCUUACAUGCAUUAAAUGACUUGUUUAACACUUAUUCUACAUCCUACUUGAUGAAUUGCUCUGAUGCUUUAAUUGAACUUGUUUCCCCUUUUAUUGUUACAUGUUAUCUCUUUCAUUAUUGAUUAUCAUUAUCUAAAGUCAUUACACAUGUUAUCUCUUUCUUUGUUGAUUGUCAUUAUUUGAAUUCAUUGUUACAUAUUAUCUCUUUCAAUGCUAUUAUUCUUAUUUGAAGUCAUGUUAUCUCUUCCAUUUUGAGUUAUUGGUAUUUAGUUCAUGGUUACACAUUAUUUUUUUUAUUGUUGAGUUAUUGGUGUUGAAGUUGUGAAAGUCGUAUCACUUGGAGGCGAAGUUGUCAAUUGUUGAGAUAUCUUUCUUGUCAAGAAUUUUACAUUUAUAAUUAUUGUUGAUAUUCUUGUACACGUUGUGAUGGAUCCAUGGUCUAUUGUUGUUGAAAUAUUGAUAUUGUUGGUUGUUGGCAAGUUGUGAUAUAUUGGGCACUUGUGGUGCAAGUUGUUAUUGUGAUGUGAUAUUGACACACAUGAUGCGGUAUAAGGUUAGGGGUUAAUGUGCAUGUGGUGGCAUAAGGUGGGACUUAUGUACGUGUUACUUGUAAGGUUACUAUGUGAAGUCACACGACGUCAUAAAGUGGGCUAAAGUGCGUGUAGCUAUUUCGGACAAAAAUAUUUUCAAUACUAUUUAAAUGUAAGGCUCACGCGGUGUUAUAAGAAAAGAAUGUGAUUGAUAUUGUGAAUACGAGGCAGUACCUCAGUUGUGAUUCUUGAUAUAUACACGAGGUGGUAUCUCAUUGUGAUUCUUGUUGAUUAUCUCUUGUUGCAAAGAGUUUUGGUGGGAACACUUCUUAUUAUUUUUUUCUUCCUUGGUCUAUCAGUUGUUGUCCGUAUAUGAUCAUUGUGGUUCCCUUUAAUUGAUUUCUUUAUGUUAUUUCCAUGCUACAAAUUCCGGUAUUAGUUCAUGUUAUUCACUUGUUUCGUAUAAGUUAUUUCUCUGUCUUCCAUUAUUUAUCUGUAUUAUGAUUUCAUACUGCUUAUUUACAUCCUAGUAGAUGUCUUGACCUGGCCUCGUCACUACUCUAUCGAGGUUAGGCUUGUUACUUAUUGGGUAUUAUUGUGGUGUACUCAUACUACGAUUUUGCACAUCUUUUUGUGCAGGUCCAGAUACGUCUGCUCGUGCUGGACAUUAGUGAUCAUCUGUUAGCUGCUUUAUAGAGACUUUAAGGUAUGUCUACUCGGUGUCCGCAGGCCUCGGAGUCAUCUUCCUUUAUCUUUAUUUUCUGUUGUAUUUUCAUUCAUACAGUGAUGUAUUAGACAUUGUAGUUUACUCUUUAGAGCGUAUAUCUCAGUUCCACGUGUUUUGUGGAGUGUAUUGUUGAGAUUCUAUUUCGGAAUAUAUUAUGAGUUUAUUAG